rnacentral:tRNA from 1 species
ACCUUUCUAGUAUAAUAAUUACAAUUGACUUCCAAUCUAUAGAAUCUGGUAUAAGCCCAGAGAAAGGUA